rnacentral:pre_miRNA from 1 species
AAUAAACCAAUUUUUCAUUUUUUACCUUUAAUUUUUGACUCUUCGUCUUAUUUAAAAAAUUUUGCGAUUGAUAUUUUUUGUUUUUAUUAUAUGAUAAAUCAUAAAUAGUACUUGACGUGUGACUAAUUUUUUCUAAUUUUCUAAAAUUUUUUCAAAUAAGACGGAUGGUCAAAAGUUGGACACGGAAACCGGAGAAUUCGUUUUUU